GCCUUCUUAGCUCAUAGGUUAGAGCAUUGCACUUGUAAUGCAAUGGUCAUCGGUUCAGUUUCAAUAGCUGGCU
rfam:Picea glauca, whole genome shotgun sequence.